UCCUAGCCCCAAUUGCAGUGGGAAUCCUUUUGUGCAGGUGUUCGGCACAAAAGAUUACUUCACUAUGCUUUUAUUUUCAUAAGAGUUCAGUGAACUUCGUUUGUAACGGAAAGCGGGACUAUAU
rnacentral:sRNA from 1 species